AUGAAGUAGUAGAAGAUGAAGUUGUUGAAGAAGCAGACGAUAAUCAGCCUUCCAUAGAUGAAGAUGAACCAAAUCACGAUAACCCAGUUCCCGCUCCGCGGAAGUCGGCAAGACAGAGAAAGGUUCCAGAAUGGACCAAGGACUAUGUUAUGAUGACACAAGGUCAACCAGAACCAGACUGGCUACGUAGAGCCAACUUUGUAAAAGAGAUGAUGAAGGAUGGAUUAUUACAGAGUGUGGACUCUAAUUUGUGCCAGAUGACUCUUUUAAAUAUUGUGUCAUCAUCUCAGUAAUGUGUUUUUAAUAUUUGUACAUAUCUGUUAUUUUAUGCCGUAAACUUCACCGUUGAAUGACGUGGACGUCAUUCUGCAACCAGGGGGAGGUUGUAGUAGUGUGGAAUAUAUUUAAUAAAUAAAUGUUUUAAAUUAAAUGUAAAUAAAUUAAACUACCAUAAUAGAUAAAAUGUUGGAUCCACCCCUUUAUUUCCCUAGCCCUACCUGUAAACUUGUACACCUGUAUAUAGAUAAUUAGUUACCUUAGGGCAGGUCAGAGGUUUUGGUGUUUUAUUGGUUUUCAUUGGUAGUUUGUUUAUAAAGUUGGAUCUCAUUGGUUUUAUUCUUUUGGUCAUUGGUUUUACCGCCAAAAUAUUCAUUCUUUGUCUUGUUGAGAGAUUACCAAGACUUCAUUUUAUGGACUCUCUCAUGACCUUGACUUGGAGACUGACUUUUUUUCCACUUUUGAAUCCAUAUACAUGUUUAUGACAUCAUACAUACAUGUGGUAAUUAAAGCCUUUUCCCACAGAAUGGGCUAUGUUAAUAUAUACUGCUCACUGUGUCAAUAAAAUAGACCUGAACCUGACAGAGGCGUGC